rnacentral:rRNA from 1 species
UUUCGAAUUAUUCACAAUGGACGAAAGUCUGAUGGUGUAACGCCGCGUGAGGGAUGAAGGUCUUCGGAUUGUAAACCUCUGUCGUUGGGGAGCAAAUGUCGGGUUCAUAGCCCGAUUUGAGUUCACUCAAAAAGGAAGCAGUGGCUAACUCUGUGCCAGCAGCCGCGGUAAUACAGAGACUGCAAGCGUUGCUCGGAAUCACUGGGCGUAAAGGGUGCGCAGGUGGCUGAAUGUGUCAGGCGUGAAAUCUCAAGGCUUAACCUUGAAAGUGCGUCUGAAACUGUUCGGCUAGAGUAUCGGAGGGGCAAGCGGAAUUUCGUGUGUAGCAGUGAAAUGCGUAGAUAUACGAAGGAACACCAAAGGCGAAGGCAGCUUGCUAGACGAUAACUGACACUAAUGCACGAAAGCAUGGGGAGCAAAAG